UUCAAAACCCUGGUGCUUACGGUUUCAGCCUGAAUGGACUCUCCACUAGCAUCGAAUAGUUUAAAGUUAUCUUUAUUCAGACUUUAUUUUCUAUAUACCCUGCAACGAUUUGCAAAGGUGUGAGCCACAGAUAGUAUCUAUUACCCAAGAAUCUGAAAAUGAAGUACUUAAUGAUAAGUUAGUUUGCAUCAUAUACAAAUCUUUAGCAAUAUUUGUCGAUUUCACGGUUACAAGGUAUUCCUAGCAAUUCCUCUUCCAGUGGCCCUCUUUGUCACAGUGAUAGCAAGUACCUUUGACGGAGAUCUUCUUCAUCUUCUUCUUAGAGAUUCCAAUCUUAAAAUUCAUCUUUUUCUUAAAACCCUUCUUGCCUUUCUUCUUGUUGAUCUUAUCGAUAAGAAGUACCAGAGCUUUUUUGCCCUUGAAAUGGCUUUCUGUUGUUUUCAAUAUGUUCAGUAGCUCAGGCAGGCUAGUGUUCAGUUUGUUCAUAUA
rnacentral:lncRNA from 1 species